rnacentral:rRNA from 1 species
UGGGGAAUAUUGGACAAUGGGCGAAAGCCUGAUCCAGCCAUGCCGCGUGUGUGAAGAAGGCCUUUUGGUUGUAAAGCACUUUAAGUGGGGAGGAAAAGCUUAUGGUUAAUACCCAUAAGCCCUGACGUUACCCACAGAAUAAGCACCGGCUAACUCUGUGCCAGCAGCCGCGGUAAUACAGAGGGUGCAAGCGUUAAUCGGAAUUACUGGGCGUAAAGCGCGCGUAGGUGGUUAUUUAAGUCAGAUGUGAAAGCCCCGGGCUUAACCUGGGAACUGCAUCUGAUACUGGAUAACUAGAGUAGGUGAGAGGGGAGUAGAAUUCCAGGUGUAGCGGUGAAAUGCGUAGAGAUCUGGAGGAAUACCGAUGGCGAAGGCAGCUCCCUGGCAUCAUACUGACACUGAGGUGCGAAAGCGUGGGUAGCAAACAGGAUUAGAUACCCUGGUAGUCCACGCCGUAAACGAUGUCUACCAGUCGUUGGGUCUUCUAAAGACUUAGUGACGCAGUUAACGCAAUAAGUAGACCGCCUGGGGAGUACGACCGCAAGGUUG